GGAUGUGGAGGGGUAGGGUGGCCUCUGCCCAGCCCCUGGGAAUUCAGGUGACCUGCUGGCUUGGUGUCCCCUUCCUCCCUCAACCUUCCUCAUGUAUCCCUUCUUGAAGUUGCACACUCAAAGAAGAUGACCUUCCCAGCAAAAAGAUCGUUCUUCUGGCAAGCAUGUCUUCCCAAGUUUGUUGUGAAGAUCUAAUAAGGUAAUGGAUAUAAAAAUGCUUUAGAAACUGAAUGAACUGUAUAAAUAUAAGUUAUUAUAAUUAUUAUGAUUAAC
rfam:Callithrix jacchus chromosome 2, whole genome shotgun sequence